rfam:Triticum aestivum genome assembly, contig: Triticum_aestivum_CS42_TGACv1_scaffold_249333_3DL
GGCCUAGUAGCUCAGCUGGUUAGAGGGUCGUGCUAAUAACGCGAAGGUCACAGGUUCGACAUCUGUAUGGGCCA